GCUGGCGGCAGGCCUAACACAUGCAAGUCGAACGGAGUUAUAUUGUAGCUUGCUAUGGUAUAACUUAGUGGCAGACGGGUGAGUAAUGUAUAGGAAUCUACCUAGUAGUACGGAAUAAUUGUUGGAAACGGCAACUAAUACCGUAUACGCCCUACGGGGGAAAAAUUUAUUGCUAUUAGAUGAGCCUAUAUUAGAUUAGCUAGUUGGUGGAGUAAUAGCCUACCAAGGCAAUGAUCUAUAGCUGAUCUGAGAGGAUGAUCAGCCACACUGGAACUGAGAUACGGUCCAGACUCCUACGGGAGGCAGCAGUGGGGAAUAUUGGACAAUGGGCGAAAGCCUGAUCCAGCCAUGCCGCAUGAGUGAAGAAGGCCUUUGGGUUGUAAAGCUCUUUUAGUGAGGAAGAUAAUGACGGUACUCACAGAAGAAGUCCUGGCUAACUCCGUGCCAGCAGCCGCGGUAAUACGGAGAGGGCUAGCGUUAUUCGGAAUUAUUGGGCGUAAAGGGCGCGUAGGCGGAUUAGUAAGUUAAAAGUGAAAUCCCAAGGCUCAACCUUGGAAUUGCUUUUAAAACUGCUAAUCUAGAGAUUGAAAGAGGAUAGAGGAAUUCCUAGUGUAGAGGUGAAAUUCGUAAAUAUUAGGAGGAACACCAGUGGCGAAGGCGUCUAUCUGGUUCAAAUCUGACGCUGAGGCGCGAAGGCGUGGGGAGCAAACAGGAUUAGAUACCCUGGUAGUCCACGCUGUAAACGAUGAAUGUUAAAUAUGGGAAGUUUUACUUUCUGUAUUACAGCUAACGCGUUAAACAUUCCGCCUGGGGACUACAGUCGCAAGAUUAAAACUCAAAGGAAUU
rnacentral:rRNA from 1 species